GUCCCCGCAGCCCGCGUGGAACCCUCGCGCUUCAACUUGCGGGUCCCUGGGAGCCCGCGGGGGCCGCAAGGAGCCUCCCUUUACUACUCGGGCUUUCGGGGGAAGCAGAAAUGCACAGCGAAGAGGGGGUGCCGAGCCGGCGUCUGGCAUGGGAGGGGCUGUGGAGAGCGAGGAAGAAGCAUUUUUGGCUGUGAAUCCAGGCACCUCUGGAGUUAGAAACACAAGUUCUUUGCUCUGAGAAUGUUGAUGCUUUGGAUAAAUGAUUGUGACAGGGGCCGUUCCCACUGUCCCCUCCCUCAAGUACGGUGGUUCCUUCCACCAACUAUUUAUUCUUUUCCUCAACCCGCUCCUCACUACGGUGUUUACUUUCGUGGUGGCAAUUCCAAACUUAGCAGAUAGCUGACUCCAAAGCGGUUCCCAAAAAACACCGUAAGGGAACCUAAAGGUAGUCAGCCCAAACCUCUGAUUUUAUGAUUCACGAAAUGGAAAAUAAACAAAUGCCUCCUUUGCUUUUCCUUCAUCUGAUUAUGAACGCACCUGAUCCACAGGGAAACAUUUCAAUCAAUGAGUGUGUGUAAAUUAUGUGCAUCACUACUAUACAUAAUAGGCACAAUUUUUCUUAACAUUAGUGAAUAUGUGUAUUUACACCACACAGCAACCACAGUGAAUGAAAUUACUUCUUAUUCAUGUGUAGAAGUAAAAAAAAAAUACUGAUUUACAUGAAUUCAGUCAAAGAAAUUUAGCUCUGGUGUCUGCGAUUAUCUUUCUGUGACUGGAUUACACAACAAGCUAAUCUCUCCCGAAAUAGCUACUAUGUUACAGCCCCCCACCCCACAUCUCUUUCCAUUUCUCUUCAAAAAUGCAUAGAAAAUGUCAGUCAAGUUUCUGUGGGACUUUAAAUAAUUGAAAAGAGAGACAUAUUAUGUCCCAGUGAAUCACUUGAUUUUGCUGUAGCCUUUUAUAUUCUCUGUGGAUAUUCUGUAUAUUAAUGUAAAAAUAAAACUUCUCUGGAUUCCUUAAUGUUUUCCAUGAAUAUUAAUCCUGUGUUCCCCCCCAAUCAGAAGAGAGUAAAAAACAGGAAUUAAAACUUCCUCCUGGGACUGAAAUACCCUCACAAAGAGAAGCAAAUCAGUGACUGAAGGUCAAUAGAGACCAUCAAGAAAAAGUCUGGAUUAGGAAGAAGCAUCUCCACAGCCACAAG
rnacentral:lncRNA from 1 species